rnacentral:rRNA from 1 species
UACGUAGGGAGCAAACGUUGUCCGGAUUUAUUGGGCGUAAAGGGCUCGUAGGCGGUUCAACAAGUCGAUCGUGAAAGCCCGGGGCUCAACCCCGGGAGGCCGGUCGAAACUGUUGUGACUAGAGUUCGGUAGAGGUGAGUGGAAUUCUCGGUGUAGCGGUGGAAUGCGCAGAUAUCGAGAGGAACACCAUUAGCGAAGGCGGCUCACUGGGCCGAUACUGACGCUGAGGAGCGAAAGCGUGGGGAGCAAACAGG